GCUGGGUGCAGUGGUGCACUUCUGUAAUCCUGGCAGCUGGGGAGGCUGAGUCAGGAGGAUUGCAAGUUCAAAGCCAGCCUCAGCAACUUAGCAAGAUCCUGUCUCAA
rnacentral:sRNA from 1 species